GACGAACGCUGGCGGCGUGCUUAACACAUGCAAGUCGAACGGUAAGGCCCCCUCCGGGGGUACACGAGUGGCGAACGGGUGAGUAACACGUGGGUGAUCUGCCCUGCACUCUGGGAUAAGCCUGGGAAACUGGGUCUAAUACCGGAUAUGAGCUCCUGUCGCAUGGCGGGGGUUGGAAAGGUUUACUGGUGCAGGAUGGGCCCGCGGCCUAUCAGCUUGUUGGUGGGGUAAUGGCCUACCAAGGCGACGACGGGUAGCCGGCCUGAGAGGGCGACCGGCCACACUGGGACUGAGACACGGCCCAGACUCCUACGGGAGGCAGCAGUGGGGAAUAUUGCACAAUGGGCGAAAGCCUGAUGCAGCGACGCCGCGUGAGGGAUGACGGCCUUCGGGUUGUAAACCUCUUUCAGCAGGGACGAAGCGAGAGUGACGGUACCUGCAGAAGAAGCACCGGCCAACUACGUGCCAGCCGCCGCCGUAACAC
rnacentral:rRNA from 1 species